rnacentral:snoRNA from 1 species
GGACGAUGAUGCUUUUAGUUCUACACACGAGAUUUCUGUCCGAGCGCUUGCGCUCUGCGGACAAUAACCUAAUUGAGUCC